rnacentral:lncRNA from 1 species
GGUUUAACUAUCCUAUACAGGACUUGAAAAUUAUUCAUAAAAAAUAUUAUUGGAUCUUAGUUGGGUCAAUUAUAAAGUUAAUAUGCUCAUCAAGACAAGUAAAUAUCAGAAUAUUAAAAUAAUCUAACCUUUAGAAUUAGAUGGGUUAAUUAAGAACAAACCGAUAUUAAUAAGUCAAAUGUAUAUGAUAGAGAUUUUAAGAAAUAUCUUUGUUUGAUGUCAUCAUGGGUAGAUCGG